GAGGGUAUGGCUCAGUGGUAGAGCGUGUGCUUAGCAUGCAUGAGGUCCUGGGUUCAAUCCCCAGUACCUCCA
rnacentral:tRNA from 1 species